rnacentral:rRNA from 1 species
CCUACGGGUGGCAGCAGUGGGGAAUAUUGCACAAUGGGGGAAACCCUGAUGCAGCGACGCCGCGUGAGUGAAGAAGUAUUUCGGUAUGUUAAGCUCUAUCAGCAGGGAAAAAAUAAAGUCCUUCGGACUUUGGACGGUACCUGACUAAGAAGCCCCGGCGAACUACGUCCCAGCAGCCGCGGUAAUACGUAGGGGGCAAGCGUUAUCCGGAUUUACUGGGGGGAAAGGGAGCGUAGACGGCAGCGAAAGUCUGGAGUGAAAUCCCAUGGCUGAACCAUGGAACUGCUUUGGAAACUGUGAAGCUGGAGUGCAGGAGAGGUAAGCGGAAUUCCUAGUGUAGCGGUGAAAUGCGUAGAUAUUAGGAGGAACACCAGUGGCGAAGGCGGCUGACUGGACUGUAACUGACGUUGAGGCUCGAAAGCGUGGGGAGCAAACAGGAUUAGAUACCCUAGUAGUC